rnacentral:rRNA from 1 species
AGUGAACGCUGGCGGUAGGCCUAACACAUGCAAGUCGAACGGCAGCACAGUAAGAGCUUGCUCUUACGGGUGGCGAGUGGUGGACGGGUGAGGAAUACAUCGGAAUCUACUUUUUCGUGGGGGAUAACGUAGGGAAACUUACGCUAAUACCGCAUACGACCUACGGGUGAAAGCAGGGGAUCUUCGGACCUUGCGCGAUUGAAUGAGCCGAUGUCGGAUUAGCUAGUUGGCGGGGUAAAGGCCCACCAAGGCGACGAUCCGUAGCUGGUCUGAGAGGAUGAUCAGCCACACUGGAACUGAGACACGGUCCAGACCCCUACGGGAGGCAGCAGUGGGGAAUAUUGGACAAUGGGCGCAAGCCUGAUCCAGCCAUACCGCGUGGGUGAAGAAGGCCUUCGGGUUGUAAAGCCCUUUUGUUGGGAAAGAAAAGCAGCAGGUUAAUACCCCGCUGUUCUGACGGUACCCAAAGAAUAAGCACCGGCUAACUUCGUG